rnacentral:rRNA from 1 species
UACAGGGGGUGCAAACGUUGCUCGGAAUCAUUGGGCGUAAAGCGCACGUAGGCGGUCUGUUAUGUCGGAUGUGAAAGCCCUUGGCUUAACUGAGGAAGUGCAUCCGAAACUGGCAGGCUAGAGUACUAAAGAGGGUCGCGGAAUUCCCGGUGUAGAGGUGAAAUUCGUAGAUAUCGGAGGAACACCGGUGGCGAAGGCGGCGACCUGGUAGAUACUGACGCUGAGGUGCGAAAGCGUGGGAGCAAACAGGG